rnacentral:rRNA from 1 species
UACCAGCACCCCGAGUGGUCGGGACGAUUAUUGGGCCUAAAGCAUCCGUAGCCGGUUCUACAAGUCUUCCGUUAAAUCCACCUGCUUAACAGAUGGGCUGCGGAGGAUACUAUGGAGCUAGGAGGCGGGAGAGGCAAGCGGUACUUAGUGGGUAGGGGUAAAAUCCGUUGAUCCAUUGAAGACCACCAGUGGCGAAGGCGGCUUGCCAGAACGCACUCGACGGUGAGGGAUGAAAGCUGGGGGAGCAAACCGG